CCAGCCUGGCUGAGGGGGCGGGCUGGCCGGUAGCACGCCCAGCUCGGCUUCCUUGAGCCCCUGCUGGAGGCUGAGUGAAGCCCCUCCUACUUUGGCAGCCCCUCUCCAAUACGGAGCCCUGCAUAAAACUGCGUUUUUUUCUGUGUUUCUGUUCUCUUUUCUCUACCGACCAUGGAGCACAGAAGUCAUGGGUGGGGGGCGACUUGGCAUUCGUAGCAGCGUCCAGAUCCUAGGGCUUUAAUAUUUAAUCGAGGAACCCUUGAAGGGUGGAGGUGCUUGGGGAGCCUGCCCCUAGUUCUCCUGCUUAGGCCCCAUCCUCCGGGUCCGAAUCCAGGGCUGGCGCGUGGCCACUGCGACCUCCGGGAAGCGGGGGCUUUUGGCGUCACACCCGGCACCGCAGUGCAUCCGUUCUGUGAGCCUGGCCGGCGUGCCCGGGGUGAAGAGGGAAAGCCGACUACGUGUACGAGCCCAGGCGGUACGCGACCUCUGUGGCCUGCCUCCCCGCGUCCCGGGAAGAACGGCCCCCUUUCCCCACCCCCUCGCGGUUCCCGGCAGCCCUGGCCGCCCCGCCCCCGCCGCAGCUGCUGCUUCCAUCCCCACCCGGCCCUUUCUGCCUUGUCAUCUCCUGCCCCGCCGAGGCUCGACCCGUGAGUGGGGCCGCCGGGAGCGCACGGAGCGGGAGCCCCCCCCGACCCCCGGCUGCGGUAGGGAAGAGAAACUGAGUUUGGGCAAAAUCCGCACCCCACCAAAACCAGCCGCGCCCGAAGGAGGGAGAGGACCCGGACCAGCUGGGGUCUCUGCACCCCAGACAGGACAGAGGACAGGACUCGGGAGUGGGUUCUGUCCUCCCUCCCUUCCUGCACUCGAUUUGGGGGACAGGCUCUGGAAACCUCAAGAGAAGAGGGCAGAGGAUCCACAGUACACAGUGCAGUGAUGUCAGCCUAGUGGUGAGGGUAUAUGUUGUUCACUGGGGUACAGAGGAGAAGGAACCAGUCUGCUUGUGGGACACUCAGGCAUUGGGGUGGAUGAGGGGACAUUUGAAUCUUGGAGGAUGGAUCCACAGCAUGGAGGGAGGAAAGGGCAUUCCAGGCCUAGGCAACAGCAUCUGCAAAGUUUGGGAAGUGCCAGUACUGAGUGGUGGAGGGAAGUGGGGGAAAGCCUGGCUGUCCAGGGGGUGGGAAGUGAACAGAUAGUCUGGAUUCUCUCUGAUAAGCUGUGGGGGUGUGGGGGUGUGGGGGACAGGUAGUUACGGCUGACAUUUUGCUUGGCGAGACCUUGUAGUUCAGGCUGGAGCAAGUCAGAUUCCACUUCUGCCAGUUGAUCUCGCUGAGCCUGUCCCCUUAUCUGUAAAAUGGGGACAAAAGCCCUACCCCAGAGAGUUGUCAAAGUCGCUAUUCUGUGGGAGUGAUGGGAUAGGAGUGAGCGGUACUGAGAGAGACUUAUAGGAGAUGAGAUGACCAUAGAGGGGUUGAGGGAGAUGCUGAUAACUCACUGAGAAGUGGAGGAGUAGCAUUUGUCCCUGAUGGGACAUGAAGGGAGAGAGAGGGGUAAAGGGUAGUCCUGGUCUCUGCUCAUGGCCUGGGGGAAGGGCUGACACUUCAGUAUGGCUAGGAGGGGUGAAAUGACCAGGGAGGCAUAGCAUGACACCAGGUAGUGAGACCUGGGAAGCAGGAUGGGGGCUAGGACCAAAUCCUAGACCUGGAACCAGGUAAGGAAGUAAAGGAGGGACCCCAAAGGGAGGACGAGACCCAGGAGGGUGUUUUGUGGACAAAGCCAAGGCCAGGGGAGAUGGGCUGAGAGAGGGAGUGGUCCAGGGCCUGACCUAAUUGCCCUUAAUGCCAGGGGCCUUGCUGCGUGGGUCAGGCCACCCAAGAGGAGAUGGGCCAUUGUCCUUGGUUGUCAAUAAAUGAACAAAGCAGAUUAAUUUCUGCCUAACACCUGCUGUUUGGGAGAGACAGCCUCUCAAAAUGGGAGGAUCUAUGGAGGAAAACAGUGAAAAUUCAAUAUUUGCUGGUAGCUUUUAUGAGUUGGGCCCUGGGUACUUAAAGAUGAUGGCUGUAAAUCAUUCCCAGGGCAGCAGGGAGACAGUUUGGCCUCAGGUGAUGUCUGGAGAUCUCGGUCAGAGCUAAGACUCAAGAGAAUUCAGGUAUCCCUGCUCAGGUAUUAGAACCAGGAGAGACCAUGAGACCACUUUGGGGUUACAACAUGGUGGUGGCAUUGGUGAGGUGGUGCAGGGGCAGGGCCUGUCCUGGAAGGAUGGACCUCAGGAUAAGGGGUCUGGACUUCUUCCAGCUGGUGAGAGGAGCAGCGGAGGCUCUUAGCACUUCGGGAUCUGGGAGAGGGGGGAUUCGGGGCUCUGCAGGGUCUAGGAUGGAAGUGAAAGGCUAGACUAAGUAAGUGGUGACGUUGACAGAAAUAUUGGAAAGACUGGGAAGAACUUGACUGCAAGCUGGGUGUGGGGUAUCAGGAUCAGUUGUAGGUCUUUCUGCCUGUUAAGUUGGGGAAGCAGGUUGGGAAAGAGAAGUUAGUUUGGAUAAACUGGGUCUGAAUUGAUCGCAGGAUCUGCAGGUGGCAGGGGCUCAGGAGGGAGGACAUGCUUGGGGAGAGCUGUCAGAGUAGGUAAGGGUCCUUGGAAAGCCACAG
ensembl:lncRNA